rnacentral:lncRNA from 1 species
UAACAACUUUUGAUUCGUUGUAGAAGUGUUAUGUAAAGAGAAUACUUAUAUUCUUUCAGCUUAUAUAUAUAAUUGCUAUUACUUGCUGGGCACUCAAAUGCUCAUCCUUGCUUAAACUAAAUGUUUUCAGUUACGUACGAUCGACCUGAAGGCUCAGGCACGAACAAGGGAAAAGAAAAGCUAUUCGAAUGAGAUUUAGUAUGAGUUAAUGGUUAUAGUUAGUAAGACAAUGGAAUCUAUUGUCAGGUAUUGUAAGGAAUGUAUUUGAAGGUCACGUACCUGGGAAAGUAAACUUUGAUGUAUGUAAAUUAAGUUCGAAUUAUAUUAUUAUUAUUUAGUAUUAUUCAGCUUAAAGAAAUGGUAUCGUGGAG